rnacentral:rRNA from 1 species
CGCGUGGGAACGUACCCUUUGGUACGGAAUAGCCCCGGGAAACUGGGAGUAAUACCGUAUGGUGUCUUCGGACUAAAGAUUUAUCGCCAAAGGAUCGGCCCGCGUUGGAUUAGGUAGUUGGUGGGGUAAUGGCCUACCAAGCCGACGAUCCAUAGCUGGUUUGAGAGGAUGAUCAGCCACACUGGGACUGAGACACGGCCCAGACUCCUACGGGAGGCAGCAGUGGGGAAUAUUGCACAAUGGGCGAAAGCCUGAUGCAGCGACGCCGCGUGAGGGAUGACGGCCUUCGGGUUGUAAACCUCUUUCAGCAGGGACGAAGCGCAAGUGACGGUACCUGCAGAAGAAGCACCGGCUAACUACGUG